CUUUGUUUAUGUAAAGAGACAUCAAACCUAAUAUUUUUUUUUUCCGCCUCUGUUCUAACGUGAAAGAGUGAUUCAAUAAUUCCACAGAACUCCAGGAAUUUGGUUUGAUGGUGUGAAGCAGUUGUAAAGAAUCUGAUUCCACAUCUAUUACGGCUACAUAUAUAAAUCUAAAGAACAGACUUGAAGCAGUUGGUGUAUAAAGGAUCUAUCGGCUACAACAAGAUGAUAAACUCAUGCUCAUAAAUCAGCAUCUCUCCAGUCACGUAGUGUACUCAUCAUCGACGGCAGAUCGAGCUAGAACCAUGGAGAAUGCAGCUGGUAGCAAAUCAAUACAUCAGAGAUAUCGUCCCUACCUCUCUCUCUUUCGUUCACUAAUAGAGAUUUAAGAUUUGUUUUGAUUUCCAUUCAUUGUUUGGGCAAAAUUAGUUCUUUGAUCUUGAUUCUCUUUCAAUUUUAUUUUGCAAAUCGUUUUGUUUCUCUUUGAUUAUAAACCUGUGCCUGGGGCGAUUAACAUGCUAUUUAUAUCCUUUCCUUCCCACAGAUUUACUAUGCAAUGACAAAAAGAUCCUUAGAACAGAUGAGUUAUUCUGGGGCGAUGCCGAUUAUCAUAUCUUUUUCAGUUAUACAUACAAAGGCUAUUAUACAUCUCUAGAAAAAUGUUUGUGUUAUAGAUACAAAGGCUAUUAUGAUAUUACAACCUUUUGUUAUGUUUGGUCUAUUAAGGGUUUGUGUUCAUUUGUUUUGCAGAGCUUGAGACAAAGAGGAUCUAGCUGGAGAUAUUCAAAGAGAAUCACAGAAAAGCCAAUAAUCAUGCACUAUACCAACAUUCUACAAAAGGCAUAUCCUUUAACAUUGCUAUUUUAUGCUCUUGAAUCCUGAAUAUGAAUUUCCUAUCAUUAGAAUCAUGACACCUUAAAAUAUAGAAGGUUAAAUAAGACUUCUCUCCGUUAGUCACAUCUUAUAUUGUCAAGCUUUAGAGGGAAAAGACUCAGGUGGUGGCAAAUGAAGCCGAUACAUUAUUAUGUUUCAUUGCAAUAUUUCGUAUUUACUAAGUUUAUGGAUCAAAAAACGAGAUUCGAGUUUCUUUC